AGCCCGGCGUGUGAUCUUAUUGGUAGUGUGGUUGUUAAUCUAUCAUAAGACACACGCGGCUCU
rnacentral:pre_miRNA from 1 species